rnacentral:misc_RNA from 1 species
UUUCCGUAGGUGAACCUGCGGAAGGAUCAUUAUUGUAUAACCGAGGUGCGAGGGCCGUCGCUGACCCGAAAGGUCGUGCACGCCCGAGUGCCCUCACACACAUCCAUCUCACCCCUAUGUGCACCACCGCGUGGGUCCCCCUUUGGCUUGUUCGGAGGGGGGCUUACGUUUUCACACAAACUUUGUAUGCAGUGUAGAAUGUAUUUUUUGUUUUUGCGAUCACGCAAUCAAUACAACUUUCAACAACGGAUCUCUUGGCUCUCGCACGAUGAAGAACGCAGC